CAGCAAGUCUUCCAGCGUGGGGGGGCCUGCUGUGGCCCUCGCUAUUCCUACAGCACUUGCCAGAGCAGCCCUGGGACGGUUUGAGGCCUCUCCCUGCCCUCACCAGGGAGGGGUUAUAGACAUCCCAGACACCU